AGGACACAUAAGUGGUGAGGAGUAAGAACAACCCACCUUAGUAUGCAGCACAGCACAACCUUAUGGCAUUCUCUUGGGAGAUAAGUGAUGCUGGUUCUAGUUCCCCCAGGCAGAGGAGGAAAUUAAACCCAGGACUCCCACAUCCUUUAUGAGCGAAUAAAAAGUGGCUGUCUUCCUCUCAGCUUUGUGAAUAUAAUCGUGAUAUUUUCUUCCGGGGAAUCAAUUUGGUAAGUCCACGCUGAAUUCAACAAUCAUUUUGGGACAAUGGAAAAAAAAGCAAACAUUUUUCAAUGAGAAGGAUGCUGGCUAAAAAAACAUUCUAUUGACUGUAGUGGCAGUACAACAACCAGACAGACCCCAUCACUCUGCCACUUUAUAUCCAGCAGCUGUAGGACAGGAAACUCUCAUACUUGCAGACAGCGGAGGAACUUACCUGGCAAUGUGAAAUCUUGCUAGGAAAAAAGGGUUGUGCGGGAGUAAUGAAAUCCUCUGGGAAUGGCAGAUGAAACCUGAACACCGGUGGGACUGCCUUGAGUUCUGACACAAUUACCACAGUGCAUAAGAAAAACCUGCAAAGAACAGGCUCACUCCGAGGGCUGAGAUGUGACCAGUGUCCCAGUUAUUAUUAGCUACUAAAGGUCUGAAAAGGUUCAAACUCCAUCUUUGUAGGAAUUCAAACAGAGGGAUGCAUGAGGCCUUGCUGACGGCUUCCAGACUGAAAAAGAAAGCGGAGGGAAAAGGGGCAUUUCUCUGACCUUCCUCGGUGAUUGCUCAGAACUGUGUCUACUGAUGGCCGUGUCCAACACCGACAAGAAGAGGCAAGAGAAGUCAAAAUCUGAGGAGUGAGAUGUUCUGCUAGCACAGAAAAGCCACCUGGAGAAACAAAAACAAAUGUCACACAGCUGCGAGUGGGAGAAAUGCUAUUGUUUUCCUGGUAGCCCGUCCUUCCAGUCUUCUGAGAGAAGCGGGUGAGUGUGUGUUUGUGUGUGUGAGUAUGCUGGGAAUAAGUAAUCAAGGAAACAUUCAAGGAGCGGGCAGCGUCCUGAGCCUCGUGGUGAGCAAGUGCGUAGCAAACAGUGUCAGCUGCUGGUUGCUGCUCCACCCUGCAUUUCCCCUCUUCUGCAGGAAUGCACUCGCAGACGUGCUCCUCCUUGCUGCGCAGCAUUCAGGGCUGCGGAUGACAAACUGGUGACCUCAGCAAGAGGCAAAACCGGAGCUGCAGGGGAAGGAGGAUUUGACCCUCACUGAGUGAAGGAGUUGCUGAUUUAGUCAAGUCAAGAACAGGAUGCGACGCUUUGGUCUAGUGCAUUGACAUUUGCAUCUCUGAGUGAGAAUGCUUAUUUUCAUUGGAGGAACAGCAAGACUGCCUUUUGAAACAUUUAAAGGGGCUUAUGGUAUUACUGCAAAACACUCUGGACAUGCACAGCAUGAAGAAACAAGUCGGAAGGUACAUUUAGAUGCACCAGACUCAAAUCAGAUAAACUCACAGGAUUCACGUGGCCUCUGACACCAGAGAGUCGGAAACUGUGUAGCUGUGAGGCCUUGAUUGGAGGGAGCAAGUCCACUGAAGUGUGCUCUUCCUACAACAACUUGACUGCUGGAGAGUGGGCACAGAAGAGUUUGAGUCUACAGCAAUUACUUGUGUGAGUAAUCCCUGAGUAAUUCCGAGAGGAUUUACCUGUCUGACUAAGGGCCCUCAGAAUAUCACCAAACCCUUCGAUAUAUACUCUGAAAACAUAUUUGGCCCAUUGCUUCCUCAAGGACUUUCAAGGGCACAAGAGGAGGUUUACCUUAAUUAACAUCCCUUCAACAUUGUAGACAAUGGGUUCAUCUCUUGGCUAUACAACAGAGGAAUGUUGAAAACAAUAUCUGUUCAUCGUGAAAUCAUGUUCUCCCAGCUACCUGCUACAGAGGUGAAAGCAGGCACUGUCAAAUACCACUGAAGAAAUUUAAUCUUUCCCUGCUAGCAAAUUCUGAAAAGGCAAAUAACAUUUUCAUAGUUUGUUUACUCAUUUGUUCCUUAAAAGAGGCAAAGGAAUCUGUGAAUCAGAAGAAUUUCCAUCUCAAAAAUUGCUUUGGCAACCAGUGGCUUGUAAUUUAAGAUUAAGUGAUUGAAUUUCAUGCAGCCUUGCUUAAAAUUCACUACUCCACAUGCUGUCACCACACAUUUUUUAAAAAAAAUCUAACAAGAAACCCCAAACAUCUAUAACGUUACUACAAGUCAGUCAAAAAAUGUCCAAUCAUCUGGGAGGUGACAAAACGUGCUUAAUGAAGAUGUAGUCUGCAUGACUGCUGGAUUUUUCCCCUUGUAGCGUUCACAGCCUAUCAGAGAGUUCCCAUUCCCAUGCAGUGCUGGUGCUGGGCUCACUUCAAUCAGGCUGCACAAAUCAGUGGAGCAGAAAUGCCUCUUUCCCUCCAUCACCUGAAGCCAAUGCUGAUUCAUCCGUUCAGACCCAUUCCUUCUGCCACUCCUCUGAGUUUACUGAUUGCUGAUUCAUUUUUCCCCCUCCUUUUUUUCCCCCACCUCGUACUAAGCAUCCCGUGUUGAGUUCAACACACUUCGUUUCCAGGUCUGACUGAAAGGGAAUAUGGAAAUUAAUUGGCUCAGACUGCUAGCAGCCUUUUGCACGUGCCUGUACUCCGUGAGAGGUGCAGUGCAAUUGCCUUUCCACUGUAGCUCCUUAUCAGCCACCUGUCUCCUUGCGUGUGUUUCCUUGGCUGCUCUCAGUCUGGGUGCUGGAGAUGGAUGUCCCCUUCCUCUCCCUGUUCUGCAAAAGGGAGGGCAGCUGGCAGGGCUGUCCUUGUGAGGGCUGAAGCUGUCCUCGUUUGACUUAAAAUAGGACAGAUUUAGUGAAUUCUCCAGCUUGUGGUAAAUAGCGUGUGACUGGUGCUUUGGUGAGGGCUGCAGAGAUGCUGUACAGCACAGUGGAACUUCUGCUGAAAUGUUUAUUUGUUGUCUCUGCUGGACGCAGGUCCUGGCUGAAAGAAAGCAGCUGAGGUAUGUCCCUUGGCCAUGAGAGGAGGGUACCAGGAUCCUUGCAAGUUGGAAUACAAUCUGGCUCUGCAGCUACGCUCCAUCUCAAACAUUUUCAUGCCUAGGUUUCUAUCUUCCAUUGGUUUCAUACUGAAUUUUCUCAUGGAGCUUCCUCCCGACUGCAGAGAAUUUGGGUUUCCCUGGUGAAGUCUCCCUGUGUCUUUGAUGCUGGAGUGCUGUUGCUAGCAUUGCAGAAGUCCCACUGUCCCAUGCAGAGCACUGUACAGGUAUUUUUUUGAGGAGCUGCCCCACAUUCCUGUGGAGCUUUUCCAUCUCUGUGAAAAAAAGCUGGGGAGAAGGGAGGCCUUAUCUCCAUGUUGUGCAUGGGUGAGGUCCGAAAAAGGGCUAGGCGGGACAGAGAGGCCAGGAGCACAUAUAUAGGAGGGGACAGGAGUGGAGGCCCACAGCUUGGAGACACACAACCGCCGGAGGGCUCUGGGAGUGCCCCAGCACUUGCUAGGGGGCAGCGGGCUCCUUUGAAGAGUGAGUGGUGCAAGACCCAGCCUGACUCAGUCACCCUUGGCAUCAUCCCUUGCAUCCUCAUUUCUGCAGGCUGAUGGUGUGUGCCUUGCUAGGGCCCUGGGCUUCUACUCAUUCAUGUUUGUAGGAACCCGGAGGAUGACUCAGAUUAUUACAGCACUGUAGAUCUGAUGCUGUCUGUGAUGUCUCUGGCAUGAUGCCCAUCUUUCCCUUCUGUGUUUGAACAAUCUCUUGCUCAAGGAGCCCUGGCCUGAUAGAAGGACUACCUCCUAUUAUUAACACAGUAGCAAGAAAUGAAAGGGCAGGCACAUUUGUAUGUGGUAUAAUUUAUGCAGAAGACAUGAUCUCAGGCACAGUGGAUGACAAAACCAAACGAGAAACUUUUCUUCUAGUUUUAUCACAGUUUCUCCCAGAACCUCUGCUGUAUGCAUUCUGGAAAUUUACAGGAUGAAGGAUUUUGUCAUGAUAUCUAGUUCUAAUCUGAAGUGAUUUACUGUUAAGUUGAAAAUCAAGCCUGUACGUAUCCCCCUCCAAGUGGUUUCUAUGACAGUUUCUAUUAACCAUAAAAAUGUCACUUGCUAGGAAGUAUCAGCCUUCUUGUAGGCUUUGCAAUCAUUGCUACCAGAUGCACACUUACUGAAUGGAAUAAAUAUUCUUGUACAAUUAGCCUGGCAUGCAGGACAUGUCUGGCUAUCUCUCUUGCCUCCAAAGUGAAGUUUUCAAAAGCAAACCCGUAUAUCAAGAGAUGAGAUCUAUCUGGAUUUUCUGAAGUUCUUCAGAUCUUGCAGUGUUAUGAUGCUUUAUGGAUAAAGCAUGGUGGUGUGUAAACUUAGGCUAAGUUUUCUUCAUUUUAAUCUGUAUAAGCAACUGAAAUAUUCAUUUUUCAUUGUUUUGAUCAAGUGGAAAAAAAUAUUUGAUGUCUAUUCUGUGAUUUAAAAUGUAUUUUGAAAUACACUAAUGGCUCUGUGGCAUUUCCUGCUGUUGCACAAUCACGGUGAAGCUGGUACUGUCUGGAUGCGCCAUACACACUUUGCCCCUACCUACCCGUUAAGGAAAUGACACACAAAGCCUUCCUUAAGACUGGGGGGUGGUGAUGACUUCUUCCAUAUGUGGGAUGUGUUAGCAGUGUUGAGACACUGAUUUGAGCUAACCUUGUCUUCAGGUAUGAGCUGAAAUGGGAGUCUGGGUUUGCGUAAUGCGCUGUCAGGGAUCUUAUCCAUUACACUCAAGGUUUUGGUGAGGAACUCAAGAAAUCAGCCUGAAUAAUGGAAAAGGCAUUUGAUCGGCUGCUCUCAUGAUGUGUCUGCCAUUGAAACCACACUCUGGAGAGGAGUCAGAGGCUGGACCUCCACUGCUGUGUUUGAAUCUGAAGAUGGAAAUGGAGGGUGCUGCAGAGCUGAGCUGGUGGACUCGGACUGUGAGAGAUACAUUACCCUUGCAGCAGAGGAAGCAUUGUGGCAGAAGAAGCAAGAGGCCCUGUCACCUUCAUCUGCUUACAGGAUAAGGUCACAUUCUGCUCUUUUUUUGCACCAGUCUAACCACUGAAGACACUGGAUGUGGGCUUGUGUGUGUUGGGGAAAAUACUACUGUGCUGCAGUUUGCAGCUGGCGCAACGAAUGGAGAUAAAAGCAAAUUCUACAGAGCAUCUGGCUCACUUGGUGAAGUGAGCUUAGAGCCUGGAUGCUUCUGAUACAGCAAGGUGGAAAGUAAAGAACCUAGUCCCAUUUCCAGAGUAGGGAGAGGUUUUGAAAGUAGCAGCUCUGAGGAGGCACACGGACUGUGGCUUCAAAAAGGGCUGUAACUAUGCACGAGCUCCAAUAGUUAUUCUGGUGUGAAUGAGAGCAGAUGAACUCCUGCAUCCGCUCAUAAUGUGAGCAGAGCCAUGCCAUCAGUGCAGGAAGCUGUAUGUGGGCGCAAGUGCGAGUUGAUGUGCUGCUCUAGGCAGUGCUCAUGGGAGGAGAUAAGGUAGACAGCAGAAGGGUUUAGCUCCUUCUCUGCUCUUUGUCUGCUUUGCAAAGGCUAUUGCGAAAGCAGAAGGAGUUUAAAAAUGUCUGGAAUAAUGAUUUGCAAUCUGUCAAACCUGCUCUGUAAGGAGAAGCUGAAGAAACUCAUUCUAUGAAGCUUAAGAAAAGAAAUAUCUUAAAGUAUGACUUGACUUCAGCACAGGCAGGGGGAACGUAUUUCUGAGACUAGUGGGCCCUUUGUCUUUUAUCCAUCACAUACGUAUGAAUUCCAGAGCUAAAAGCUUCUGUGCACCCCUCACCCGUGGAAUUCAGAAAUAAAAGUUGCAAAACAGAAUAUUAUACCAUUCCAAAUACUGUUGUUGGAAGGAAAAGCGCAUGUGGUCUGCUUGUACCUGCAGAAUCCGUGAUGAAGACCGAAAGUUUUCCUCUUCUGGAAACACUGUUCACUGUUUUUUCACAUGAUAGAAUUGGCUUGAAGUGAUUCCACUGUCCCUCAAAGUCUUGUGAAAACAGAAAGCAUACUAUACUAGCAUGAGAAAAGACGAUGCUCACAGAUCUCUAAGAAGCAAAAAAGCAACAGAUAUUCUCUGUGGGAUGAGCUGCUUUUUCACUGCAGCAUUAACACAUGCACUUUGGAGACUCUCAUCUUGGCCAGCAGCUGAGCAUGCUCUUGCAUUAUAUCCAAUGGCUCAGGAGCAAAAGCACUGGCUUUUAUUCAGCACCGUGUUGCUCCAAAAUCAAUGCCAGCUAAGCAUUUUCACUGCUAACAAACUGAACAUCUUCAUGGAUAUUAUUUGGAAUAAAAUGGGAUAGGUGGCACUGGAGGGCUCUGAUGGCCAUGAAUUCUCCAAGCUGUGAGCCCUUCUUUCCUGACAGUCAGAUGAUAGAGAGGACAAAAGUAAUUUUUGCAUGUUUUCAUCCCUGCCAUCUUUCAUGUGGCUCUUAAAUGGCUGAAUGUCAGCAGAAAAACAAUGACUUAGCAAGGACUUUGUGUGGAUAGAUCUAAAGAGCGGGAUUUGCAGGCCACACUGAAAUAAUGUAUUGCAUUUUCAAAUCUUAGUUCAGUGAAAGCUUGGAAAUUAACUGGGCCGGUUGGUAAGUGGCCUUUUCCGUAUUUCAGAGUGAUAGCAGAUACACACAUGCACGCUGUGUGCAAAGGCCCUUGCUGAAAAAUGUAAGGUUGAGCUAAUAUGCCUGACAGGUGCCAGACUGGUAUAGAUGGGAAGUAAAGACUCUCAUCUUCUUCUCAGGAAGAGCGGGGAGGCAGUGGCACAGGCUGCCCAGGGAGGUGGUGGAGUCACCGUCCCUGUAGGUGUUCCAGAGCCGUGUGGAUGUGGCACUGAGGGACGUGGGCAGUGGGCAUGGUGUGAUGGGCUGACAUGGGACUAAGUGAUCUUAGAAGCCCUUUCCAACCUUAAUAGUUCUGUGAUUCUAUGAUCUGCAGAACAGGAAUGAUGAAGGCCGUGGCAGCGUGAACUUCCCUGUGUAGUGCAGAAUGCAGUGAUCAAGUUUUGACACUUGCCUCUGUGAGGAGAGAAGUGAACACCCACAAACAAUGGGCUGGUCCCAGCUCACCUCCGACUGAAGUUUGUCAUUAUCAUGUAUUAGAUUCCCCCAUAGCAAAUACAGGAUUGGAACUGUAAUAAAGUAUUGAAAUUGCAGUAGAGGCUAUACAUGACUUUAAACUGUGUCAUAAAAUAUGUUUUAGGUGGCUAUAACAAUAAAAACGUUUGGAAGCCAGGGCAGCUCCAGAUUUCAUCAUUUGCCAAAAAAAUCCUGAGCAACCCAAGCCCUCUCACUCUCCGCUUCUUAAACAAAAACGUG
rnacentral:lncRNA from 1 species